ensembl:lncRNA
UUUCUGCACCUCUACCAUCCCCAAAUCAAAACAAGAUGUCCAUGGAGAAUAGAGCUAUUUCAUCAAGCAAGUGAGAAUGAGGACCUGAAAGAGACCCUUGAAGAGGAGCUGAUCUGGGGCAGGGCGACCAUCAGCUCAGUGAAGCUGCAGCCGUGUGUGUUUGAGCUGUGCAAGUUUUACUCUCAAUGUGUGUGCAGAGGAUUCAGUCACAGAGCAGCAGAGUUACAGCGAUAUUGUGUGGAUAGCCAUCGCUGGUAUGAGAGACAUACAGCAGAGGUCUGCAGUCGUAUGAGGAGAGUCACUUUUUCCAAAAAUCUGAAACAGAAAUGUCUGGCAAGAAUGUGUGUGAAGAUGUAAGACAAGAACUGAGUUCAUUUGCGGGGUGACAGACAUCUGAACCACCUGAACUAAAAUUUAUGUACAGUAUGUUUGAGAGAAACUGGGUUCUGUUAAAUACUGAACUGCAUUGUCUUCAUUGAAUCUGUAUAGUCUAUGCAUCUAGUGUCUAAAUUGCACUUCUGAAUAUAAAUAAAACCAAACAUAUUUACCCA